UAGGGAAUCUUCCGCAAUGGGCGAAAGCCUGACGGAGCAACGCCGCGUGAGUGAUGAAGGUCUUCGGAUCGUAAAACUCUGUUAUUAGGGAAGAACAAAUGUGUAAGUAACUAUGCACGUCUUGACGGUACCUAAUCAGAAAGCCACGGCUAACUACGUGCCAGCAGCCGCGGUAAUACGUAGGUGGUAAGCGUUAUCCGGAAUUAUUGGGCGUAAAGCGCGCGUAGGCGGUUUUUUAAGUCUGAUGUGAAAGCCCACGGCUCAACCGUGGAGGGUCAUUGGAAACUGGAAAACUUGAGUGCAGAAGAGGAAAGUGGAAUUCCAUGUGUAGCGGUGAAAUGCGCAGAGAUAUGGAGGAACACCAGUGGCGAAGGCGACUUUCUGGUCUGUAACUGACGCUGAUGUGCGAAAGCGUGGGGAUCAAACAGG
rnacentral:rRNA from 1 species